UUGGGUCCUGAUUGAAGCCAUGUAAGGUUUGACUUUACCAAAUGUGGCCAAAACAGAAGACAAAAGGAAACAUUUCUAUUGACGGUCACUGUUCAGUUUAAUCAUGUAUCUGAUUAUUAUAAUAAUAAUC